UACGGAGGGUGCGAGCGUUGUCCGGAAUCACUGGGCGUAAAGGGCGCGUAGGCGGCUCAUGAAGGCUGUGGUGAAAGUCCGGGGCUCAACCUCGGAUCGGCCGUGGCGACUCGUGGGCUGGAGCACUGUAGAGGCGGGGUGGAAUUCCGGGUGUAGCGGUGGAAUGCGUAGAGAUCCGGAAGAACACCAGUGGCGGAAGGCGGCCCGCUGGGCAGUGGCUGACGCUGAGGCGCGACAGCGUGGGGGAGCAAACAGG
rnacentral:rRNA from 1 species